rnacentral:rRNA from 1 species
UACAGAGGUCUCAAGCGUUUGUUCGGAUUCAUUGGGCGUAAAGGGUGCGUAGGCGGCGGGGCAAGUCAGGUGUGAAAUCCCGGGGCUCAACCCUGGAACUGCACUUGAUACUGCUUUGCUAGAGUACUGGAGAGGAGAUUGGAAUUUACGGUGUAGCAGUGAAAUGCGUAGAUAUCGUAAGGAAGACCAGUGGCGAAGGCGAAUCUCUGGACAGUUACUGACGCUGAGCACGAAGGCCAGGGGAGCAAACGGG